CCUUCUAUUAUAUUUAUGUACUGAUUUUGCAAAUAUUAAUUGUUAAUAAGAUUGUAAUAUAGUUCGGGGAAUCUCCUAAGUAUGCCUAUGUAGUGUUGUGUAUAUACGUAUAAGUGGUGGUAGGGAGAGUCACUUUAUAAGUCACAGUUUUGGCUUAGCUACGCAGUAAUUUUCGAGAUGUCAACAAGGUAGUUGCGUAGCGAAAAUUGCCCGUGUUUAAACGUACAAGACACCAUGUCCCCACUGUGGUAAAAAAUCAGGGCAGUCAGCAUGUAGUGAUAUGAAGACAAUUAGGCCAUGGGCUUACCAGCUGCAAAGAAUUCCGAAAUUUGCAGAAGAGGAGAAUCAGGGACAGAGCUCCUCAGAUCCAAAUAUUUGGAAUCUAUGUGCGUGAAAACGUGCAUAGGUAAAAAUAUUGGAUACACUUACUUUAAUAAAAAAGCAAAAAACGAAAAUACGGGAUUAUACACAUUUACCACUGGACCGCCAGCUAUCUCCUCAGGUUGUAGCUGGACAAAUGUGUUAAAUGUUGUAUAUCCGUAUUCGAUUCAUUUUCACUACCCUUGAUUCAUGUAUGCUUAUUCUUGUACAUUAAACAUCGUAUAAUUAUUA